rnacentral:rRNA from 1 species
UACGUAGGGACCAAGCGUUGUUCGGAUUUACUGGGCGUAAAGGGCUCGUAGGCGGCGCGGUAAAUCACUUGUGAAAUCUCUGAGCUUAACUCAGAACGGCCAAGUGAUACUGCAGUGCUAGAGUGUGGAAGGGGCAAUCGGAAUUCUUGGUGUAGCGGUGAAAUGCGUAGAUAUCAAGAGGAACACCUGAGGUGAAGACGGGUUGCUGGGCUGACACUGACGCUGAGGCGCGAAAGCUAGGGUAGCAAACGGG